GAUGAACGCUGGCGGCGUGCCUAAUACAUGCAAGUCGAGCGAACAGAUGAGGAGCUUGCUCCUCUGACGUUAGCGGCGGACGGGUGAGUAACACGUGGAUAACCUACCUAUAAGACUGGGAUAACUUCGGGAAACCGGAGCUAAUACCGGAUAAUAUAUUGAACCGCAUGGUUCAAUAGUGAAAGACGGUUUUGCUGUCACUUAUAGAUGGAUCCGCGCCGCAUUAGCUAGUUGGUAAGGUAACGGCUUACCAAGGCAACGAUGCGUAGCCGACCUGAGAGGGUGAUCGCCCACACUGGAACUGAGACACGGUCCAGACUCCUACGGGAGGCAGCAGUAUGGAAUCUUCCGCAAUGGUCGAAAGCCUGACGGAGCAACGCCGCGUGAGUGAUGAAGGUCUUCGGAUCGUAAAACUCUGUUAUUAGUGAAGAACAAAUGUGUAAGUAACUAUGCACGUCUUGACGGUACCUAAUCAGAAAGCCACGGCUAACUACGUG
rnacentral:rRNA from 1 species